CCCAAACCCGGACCUCUGACACGCUAGGCAAAAGUUACCACUGAAACAUUUGAGCUGACAAACAGAUAUAUUGUAGCUUGAUAUUCACUAUAGGAAGAAAGUGCAGCAUAAAAAAAUAGCAUAUUUUAGCAUUAAAAUCCCUUUAACAUUUAUGGUGAUCUGAGGGGGCGGGGGAGUCCAGUUAAUGAGGCGUAAUUCAUUAGCUUUAAUGAGAAUUGUAUAUUUUAUUGGCCUACAUUAAAGUUUAUUUCGUUUUUUAUAUUUUACAUUUAUUUCUUGAAUGCUACUAUUACAUUAACUGUAGCUGAAAAAAAUAAACCACUGUAUAUUUAAUUUGUAUAUUAUGUUGUUUAUAUGAAACUUUCUUUGUUUUUAUAUUUUUAAUAACAGAUUGGUUACCUGAGUACAUAUGUAUAAAGUACAGUUUCACUGUAUGAUUGUGAAUUUUAAUUGCUGUUUUUAACAGAGAUUUUUGACUUUUCUGUUCUUUUACAGAACACUAUUGCACACAAAAUGCUCUUACUCAGCAGAUGGGGACAGCUACCAUCACCCAAUUUUCUUUUGCACAAGCUGUGCAAAAGUGGCUCCGCUAUGCGCCAGACCGGGCAGGAGGGACUGGACGACAACUUAUGCAGGCAUCAGAUGACAAUGAAGUCAGGGUGGACUAUUGUAAUGGGCUCCUCACCGGCCUUCCCAAAAAGACCAUUAGACAGCUGCAGCUCAUCCAGAACGCUGCUGCCAGGAUUCUGACUAGAACCAGAAAAUCUGAGCAUAUCACACCAGUCCUCAGGUCCUUACACUGGCUUCCAGUUACAUUUAGGAUUGAUUUUAAAGUACUUUUACUCGUAUAUAAGUCACUAAAUGACCUAGGACCGAAAUAUAUUUCAGAUAUGCUCACUGAAUAUAAGCCUAACAGACCACUCAGAUCAUUAGGAUCGAGUCAGUUAGAAAUACCAAGGGUUCACACAAAACAAGGGGAGUCCUCCUUUAGUUACUAUGCCGCCCGCAGUUGGAAUCAGCUUCCAGAAGAGAUCAGAUGUGCUAAAACACUAGUCACAUUUAAAUCUAGACUUAAAACUCAUCUGUUUAGCUGUGCAUUUAUUGAAUGAGCACUGUGCAAUGUCCGAACUGAUUGCA